UCCAUUCCAUCUGACAAGGUGUUAAAACUCUCAUCCAAGCCAUCAAAAAUUUCUGAUCUGUUAUCCAAAUUAAAUCUGCCACCAGAAUUGCCAUAAUCAGAAUUGUAGCUCUCAGCCCUAUCUAGUCUUCAGAAGAAAGAUUGCUAACUUGGACUGUCAUUCCAGUUAUUCCCAGUGAGACCUCCAAAUAUUCACUACUCAACGUCAUCUAAAGUCUCAAUUUUUUAUUACUUUCAUUGGCCUGAGCACCUGUAAAAAGUAUACCAACAAUACAUUUAAUUUUUAUCCAUCCCCAAGCUGUUUAAAUUCGAAAACUUGUUGAAUGCGCCUAAUGAAUAUAUAUACAUAUAAUCAAGUAAAACAAACAUAUAACAUCAAGAUUGAACAGUAAAUCAGAAUAGCUUACGAUGUAUCAUAACUAAUAUGAUGCCAAAAUGAGCCAUUUUAUAUCCUUGUUAACCCUAAUCAACCUAGACCUUACAGCAGGGCCAUAACUGCCUAAGAUCUACUAGGGACAAAUAACCCCGCUCAACUCCCAACUGCAUGAAAACUUAUUCUCACACAAUACAUGUAUAAAUUUAAAAUUAAUC
rnacentral:lncRNA from 1 species